rnacentral:lncRNA from 1 species
AUGGAUAAGCUGGGAAUAUUAUGGCACCGGUUGCCCGUGUUUGUUGGUUUAUUUUAUCUGGGACCUCGGCGACACCUUCACCAGGAGUACAACUUGUUCAACGUCGGGGAAACCCCGGCAGGCGUUCGGUUUAAUCCGGGCGAUUAUCCGUACCCUACCGCCAAUGGCGAAUAUAACGAUCCCUUCAAUGAAGGUGCCGGCAGUGAAGGAACUUUCUUUGGCAGGAAUGUUCUCCCUGCUGAUAAAAAACACAAGGUAUAUACAUGUAUAUCCAACAAUAAUAUUAACAAUGAUACAAGUACAAACUAGUAGAAACUGUUUUACAAAUUUUCAUGAACAAUUUAAGGCGGCGGCUUACGUGACAUGAUGAAAUAAUUACUUAAAGUCAAGGCAGUUAAUGAAAAUAAUCAAUCCCUUAAACACUAUGUAAAUCGCCACUCAGAUUGUAUAAGAAAUUUUGUACAACAAUUUGUAGAUGUAUAAUAUUAUACACGCAAUCUACAAAUUACUUCCCCAAGGAUUUAACCAUAUGAUUUUUAGCAAUUUUAUUUAAUUAGCUACUAAAAAUCGAAUUAUAAAAUGGUAUGGCUAAAUAAUUUAUAUAUAUAUCAACUUCGCCUACCCUUCUAUCUCUAAAAAAUAAAAAAUCUACCAACUACUUAAAUUGACCCCAAAACAGUUGUUAAAUAUGAGUCCUGGACAGUAGACAGCGGGAAACAAAAGCCAAUUUAGAAUGAAGUCAAACAUUGAUUGGUUUGAUACAAUUAUAUUUGGUUUGUGGUUCAACUUAUCUAAAUAUUAUAUAUUAGAUUUUUGAAGCAUGAAUUAAGAUAGCAUCAUUCUUUUUCUUUUUAAUUUUCAGUAAAAAAUAUAAACAGAUUUUAUAGUAAAAAUAUAGUUUAUUAUUUCAUAGAAUUCAUUUUUUUUUAAACUCUUUUACACCUUAUUGGUUGUAGUAUGACAUUGGAUUGGAUUGGAUUGGAUUGUAGAUAAUGAUUUUAUCAUUAAGAAUAGAAUAAUUAAUUAACUAUUUCUACAUUUAUUCAACCAUUAAUUUGAAUAAAUUAGUACAAACGCAAACUAAUGAAAUAUUUAUUUAUUUUUUCAUUAUUGUGUGCAUUUUAUUCAAUUACUUAUUUAUAUAUUUUAUAUCAAUAUCAAAAUAAAUAAUUUUGAUUUUAUAGUUAUUUAAAUCAGCAUGAAAUUAAAUAUUAAAUAAUAAUUUCAACAAAUUAUUUUUUCAUCUAUAAAAAAGGGAAAAUGAUAAUUACACCCCCAAGGUUUAAGAAAAUGAUCAUGUACACCACCGAGUUUUCAAUAAGAGACACCAAAAUUUUUUCUUGACCACGAAAAUUUGGAUUUCAAAAAUUUUGAAUAAGUACAAAUAUAACAUAAAUGAAGUAUAUCCUCUAUUUGGAGGCUUAAAUAGGAACCCUUUGAGAACAUGGAAUAAGCUUAGAAUUUGAAAUUUUACUGUUCAAAUCAAAGUUUCGACCUGCAUCUCAAAGAAUUUUAUCAUUUUGAUUUUGAGGCAAUGCCCCAAUGGUAUAGAACAUUCACAUAAAACAUGUUAUAUUGAUUUUAAAAUUACAUAAAACAUCCUAUAAAUGUAAAAGCAUCGUUCAAGUACAGUAACAAUAAAAAUAUAUCUCGUAUUUUAAGUUCAAUCUAAUCAUGACUUUAAUUUGACGCAGCUACUGAAACCAGAUCCAGUCGUAGUUGCCACAAAACUUCUAUCACGGAGGAGUUUCAUAGACACGGGAAAGCAAUUCAAUACGAUAGCAGCUGCGUGGAUUCAGUUUAUGAUACAUGAUUGGAUUGAUCAUUUGGAGGACACAAAUCAAGUUUGUAAAUUUUAAUUAUUAUAUAUAUGAUUGGAUUGAUCAUUUAAGAGUCGACAGCCCCUUAUCAAUGCUUAGGUUUGGGGUUCGAAUAAUGAAGAGGGAGGGGGAUGAUUACAGAUUUUAAUAUGGGGUUUCCUGAAAGAAUUUAAAAAUACUGUUUAAAGAAGUUAUUUUCUUGGAAAUUAAAUUAAUAAUAAUAAUGGUAUGUAUAGGUUGAGCUGGAGGCGCCCAGAGAAGUGGCAGGCAAAUGCCCUCUUAGUUCUUUCAAAUUCUACAAGACAAAGGAGGUUCCAACCGGCUUUCAUGAAAUCAAACACGGGCAUUUGAACGUUCGUACUCCUUGGUGGUAAGAAAUCAUUGAUUAAUAACAGGACACGUUCAUGUAUAAAUCGAGAUUUAAAAUUGAACGAAUCGAUCAUAAAUUGAGAUUGAAUCGAUAUUGUUGAUGCACGUGCAUGAUGGGAUGGAAGUGCUAUAUAUGGAAGCAACGCAGAGAGAUUGCAUAAAUUGAGGACUUUCAAGGACGGGAAGCUGAAAAUAGCAAAAGAUGGGCUUCUUCUCCAUGACCAAAACGGAGUUGCUGUUGUUAGGGAAAAAUCAGGUUUUUAAUUUUUUAUAAAACCUUUUAAGGACCGCUCUCAUAUAAUAUAUAGGAAUACGUACUCCAGAAAUCGUACCUUGAAAAUCCGAUUUGGCUUUUUCCGAUGAAGUGAUUUAGGCUCCUAGAUCACAAUACAUUUAAUAGGGGACCCACCAUGUAAAAUAACAUAAGGCCCCUUACACAUAAGCUUAUUAAAUGGAGCCUCCCACUAAAUGAUAUAUUUAGGCUUUUGACCCAAAUAGCUAGUUAGCUUACUUAUUGUUUCUAUAGGGGACCCACCUUGUAAAAUAACAUAAGACCCCUUACACAAAAGCUAAUUAAAUGGAGCCUCUGACUAAAUGAUAUAUUUAGGUUUUUGACCCAAAUAACUAGUUAUCUUACUUAUUAGNNNNNNNNNNNNNNNNNNNNNNNNNNNNNNNNNNNNNNNNNNNNNNNNNNNNNNNNNNNNNNNNNNNNNNNNNNNNNNNNNNNNNNNNNNNNNNNNNNNNNNNNNNAGCUGCUGUACCGUACAUCCGCCUUGGCCGUACAGCAGAAAAGAUUGGAAUUGACUUCCAUAAUUGUAUGCUCGAAUAAUAAUUCGUUUCAAGCCACAUUGAUUUCUUUACUGCACAAUCCUUUGUACCAUAUCGUUAAUUAAAUUGAUAUCUCAACUGUCCAAUCAAUUUAAUGACAUCUUAUUCCUUGAUCCUUACUGGUUUUCUCUAAUGAUCAUUUUCAACAUACUAAAUAUGUUGACACACUCUGGCCAGAGAAUUCUAUGAUCAAGUACCGAAAACCUAUCAAGAGAUGUGUUGUACAAAUUCUAUAUUGUUAAUCCAUAACUCCAAUACUCAUAAUUGCUCCCACCAAGAUACCGGGUAAUCUUGACCACAAGGAUGUGUCGUGCCCAUUGGUAACUCAAAUGAAAUAAUAAUUACAAUCAUGAAAUCAUAAUUAACUAAAGAUUAAGAUUACAGUAAAAUUAACGCCUAUGAGAUUUUAAUAAGUCUGACAGUUAUUACAAAGUUAAUUAAAUCUCAUAUGUGAUCAUGUUCAAUGUAGUCGUACUACAUCAAUAAAUUCAUACAUGAUUAAGACAAAUCAUUCAAUGAAUUUAUUACAGUCUAUACCUAAAUAAAGUGCCCAACUUUAUUUAUCAACUGCAAACUAAAUUUAUUUAAUCAUAAGAUAACUUGUAUUUAUGUAUUCUGUGAAUCCACAUGGUGAUCACAUAAAUACAUAUAAUAUGAUUAAAUGGACUUUAAUACAAAUAUUAAUGCAAUUAAGAUAUUUGAAUAAAAUACCUCAUUAAUUUUAUUAAUCAGAAAAAAUAUUUAUUACAAUUAAAUAAACACAUAUACUUUUAAAGAGCAUAUUUUUCCAACAGCUGUAACAGGAGAUGUUCGCAAUACUUGGGCUGGUCUCUCAACGUUACAGGCUCUUUUCGUUAAAGAGCACAAUGCGGUUUGUGACGCCCUCAAGGUUCGUGUGUAAAAUUAAUUGAAUAAAUAUACGCACAUCCCUUGUUAACUAAAAAUAUUAUUACAAGUUAUCGUUGAAAUUUGCAUGAUAUUUUAAUUUUCCAAUUUAAUUUUCAGAAGGAAUAUCCAGAUUUGGGAGAUGAAGAGCUUUACCGCCAUGCAAGGCUAGUGACUUCAGCUGUGAUUGCUAAAGUUCAUACUAUCGAUUGGACUGUGGAGCUCCUCAAAACCGACACCCUGCUUGCAGGGAUGCGUAUCAACUGGUAAAUUACUUUUCAACAAUGAAGCAUCAAUUGCUUUAUAGCGACACCCUUGAUUUGACAAAAUGAUCAUUUAAACUCCUUUAUUCUCAGAUGAUUGCGUAUACCUUGUAAGAGAAUUGUAUUACUUGACCACAAUGAUCCAAUACUGUAAUUUACGAGGGCACUGUUAUCUAACAAAGUGUUUCUUUUUCUUUUCCCAGCAUAUGUGAUAUUAAUGUUAUGAAUUUAAUUAAUUUUUUUUAAUAUAUCCUGUGCAGGUAUGGAAUUCUGGGAAAAGAAAUUCAAAGACACAUUUGGGCACGUUGGAGGAGCCAUCUUGGGAGGCUUUGUAGGCAUGAAGAAGCCUGAAAAUCAUGGGGUCCCUUACUCAUUGACCGAGGAAUUCACCAGCGUUUACCGCAUGCACGCGCUUCUACCAGAUACCCUUAAUCUCAGGGACAUCGAUGCUCAACCGGGACCCAAUAAAUCUCCUCCGUUGGCUGAGAAGUAAGCAUAUGUAUUAUUAUAUGGAUCCCUCUAAGUUACAUGCAUGUACCUUACAACCCUCUCACAUGAAUAAUAUCCAUACACUAUUCAUGUGAGAGGGAUGUAAGGUACAUGCAUGUAACUUAGCAUUACCCUUAUUAUAUAUAUGGUAACUAUUCUCAAAUCCACACUUUAUAAAAUACAGUUAUCUAUUUACAGUGCUGUACAAACAACCUAAAGUAGUGUACACCAUUUCUAUCACUAUAAAGGAGUGAAUAUACGCUUUUUAAGGUUCAAACAUCUGUACCUAAAAAUGCCUCUCGCAUAAGUGAUUAUAUCUUUAUUAAUUAAUUUAUUUGCUUGCUUGUUCGAAAAGGGUGCCUAUGGAAAAUUUGGUUGGACACAAGGGAGAAAAGGCCUCAUCAGACAUUGGAUUUGGGAAGCGAAUAGUUUCAAUGGGUCACCAAGCUUGUGGGGCAUUGGAGCUUUGGAAUUAUCCUCUCUGGCUAAGGGACCUUAUUCCGCAAAAUACGGACGGCACGGAUAGGCCUGAUCAUGUGGACCUACCAGCUCUUGAAGGUAAUAUAUAUAUCAGAUGAUAAUCUCAACCGUUCAUUUCAUGAAGUGAUUGAUAGCUCGUGGCAGGCAAGGUAACUAAUCAAAAUUGGCUGCUUAUGAUGAUGCAUGCGUGCAGCAUACAGGGACAGGGAGAGAAAAGUUGCUAGGUACAAUGAGUUCCGUAGAGCUCUGCUCUUAAUUCCUAUCUUCAAGUGGGAAGAUCUGACGGAGGAUAAGGAAGCGAUUGAAGUGCUUAAUGAAGUGUACGGUGACGAUGUUGAAGAGCUUGACCUUCAAGUAGGCCUCAUGGCAGAGAAAAAGAUAAAGGGUUUCGCUAUCAGCGAGACCGCUUUUGUAAUCUUCCUAUUGAUGGCAUCCAGGUAAUUAACUACUAAACCAAGCGCUAAUGUUAAAGAAACAGAACUCCACAGAUAUUAAGACAAAUUAUAUGAUCGAUGAGAUAUUAUUGAAAUGUGUGAUGUGGCAUCCAUAUAUUUGCAGGAGACUUGAAGCCGACAGGUUCUUCACAAGCAGUUUCAAUGAGGAGACGUACACGAAGAAAGGACUUGAGUGGGUGAACACCACGGAGAGCCUGAAGGAUGUAUUGCAUCGUCAUUAUCCUGAAAUUACAGAGAAAUGGAUGAACUCGACAAGUGCUUUCUCCGUCUGGGACUCACCUCCAAAUUCUCACAAUCCCAUCCCUCUUUAUCUUCGCGUUCCUCAGUGAACCUCCAAAUUAAUUAUGAAGCCACGCACAUAUUUGUUACGUACGUGCUAAUUAAUUCGAACCCUUUUAAUGUAUUUGUUUCAUUUUUCGUUGAUUGCCUUGGGUUAUUAUUCUUUAUGUACUUCAUUGUUUCUGUAUCUCGUAAAGUUGUUUGUGACAAACACCUUAAUUUCAUUGAUGUGGGUUUGAGGUUUUCAAAAUAUGUUAAAAAACUAUUACAUUGAUGUAAAUUGCUGAAAAUUAUUUUGAAACAUUGUAAAAUCUCGAAUCAAAAUUUUUUAAAAAUAUGAACAUCUGCAUUAUGAGACUAUAUAUAUAUAUAUAUAUAUAUCAACCUAACUCAGAUCUGGUAAAGACACUCCUAAAAUUGACAAAUCGCGCUUCAAAGCAAGAUAGAUCUCCAGAUCUACCAAAGAAUCUAAUUAAUAUUUGGUAAAGCACACUAAUCCGGUAUAUCGGCUGGAAACCAGAACGUGCGGACUAUUGAUCUGUUCUAAGUCAGAUCUGGGUCCAAAGGCAGAUUAGGUUCUGCAUCGAUCUUUCUGCUGUACCGUACAUCCGCCUUGGCCGUACAGCAGAACCUUAACACUAGGGUUGGGCAAAUAACCCGACCUGAUCCGACCAAAAAAAAAUGGGGUUCGGAUUAGAUUGGGUUAUUAACCUAACCCAAUUGAAUUUAAUUUAGCCAACCCGGUCGAAUCGAGUGAAAAUCCAAUCCGAAAAUCCGAUCGGAUUUGGCUAUUGAAAAAAAAAAGAAAAAAAUCAAAACACACACACCCAAGAGGUGCAAAACACACACACUGACAAACACCCACCACCCCACCCCCUCCAUACAGUGUAUGGCAUACACACACUGACAGAGCCACACACACACACAAAAUCACACAAAGAUAGCCUUUACUCACACUUCAUAGCCUCAUGCUUCACUCUCCUCUUUGGUUCUUUUGCAGUUUUCACUCUUCAAUCUUCACAACCCCGCUUUCUUCUUUUUUAGCCUUCACUCUCCAAUUUUCACAAAUCGGGUUUCACAAAUCUAGUUGUAGUCACAAAAGUAAGCCGAUGCUGACGCAAAGACGUAGCACAACAACCAACGAUCAUUUGCAGACACAACCACUAGGUUUGUGGUUCCAUCCAUCACCAAGUUUCUCACCUCCAUGCUCCACUUGAACCCAACUACCCAACUUCUCCAACCUGGCAACCCGAGCCUUGUGUUUUGAAAUUUUGAUGGUAUUUCUUGAUGUUGUGAUUAUUAUCAUAUAUAAAUUGUAAAAUUUUAAUGUUCACUAGCUAAUGAUAAAGAAAACCAGUGGUAAAGAAAGCUAUAAUGUAUUAAUUUUUUCCAAUGAUGGGCAUAAAUUUUUCAUUUCCCAAUCCAAACCAUUUUUAAUACGAAUUUGAUCCAAAUCGAACUCAACCCGAUUUUUUGACCCGAUCCGAUCGAAUCCGAUCCAAAUAUAUAUUCGAAUCGUGUCGGAUCGGGUUAUAAGUCUAGAUCGAAUUCGGAUAGAUUUCUACCCAACCCGAAAUUCGAUCGGGUCAAGCCGAACCUGAUCCGAAUCCGAUUUUGCCUAGCCCUAUCUUCAUGUGUGUAUAUUUGCGUGUGUGUAUAUAUUUAUUCUUAGAUUUAAUUAUGAUGACCCUUCACAUGAGGAUGAUUAUCGGGGGUAAAACAAGAUAGGAUAGGUUCGAGAGGAUAAUAUAUUUAGCAAGACGGGAGGGGAAUUAUUUUUUUGAUAAAAAAAAGGUAUACGCAAAAUAAACAUUUUUAUGGUGUGUGUUUACUUAUUGGGAAUGAGAAUGAGAAUCAAGGAAUGUGAAUGAAUAAUGUGUUUAUUUGCUAAAAUGAAAGAUGAAAUGAGAAUUAAAGUGGUAGACCCCAUCUAAAAUUAGGAAUGAUUACUGGAAUUCUCAUUCAUAUGGGGGAGGUGGGAAUGGGAUUCGCAUUCCUUAAAGUGACCAUAUUACAUUCACUUAAAUCAUGAAGUUUCCAUUUUAUCCUUCCUUAUAUUAUUAUGAUGAUGAUGAUGAUGAUGAUGAUGAUGAUGAAAAAUUUAUUGUUGAUGAUGAUGAUGAUAAAUUGUUACUAUUAAUAUUAAUUAUAGUUAUUAAUCACUACAAUUAGUACUUUUUAUUAUUGCUAGUGAUCAUCAUCAUCAUCAUAAUAAUAUAAAUAAAUAAAUAAAUAAAUGUUAUUGUUAUAGUAAUUUUAUUAUUAGUAUUAAUUAUAAUGGAUAAUAAUUAUAAUAUUAUUGCAAAUAUAAUUAUAAUUACUACUACUACUACUACUACUAUUAUUAUUAUUAUGACGAUGACGACGACAAUAAUAAAUUAAGAUCAGUUUAAUAACUUAUAACUAUCAAUUCCAAUUCCAAGAUAAAGUAAACACAUUAAUGGCAAUAAAGUUCAUUACAAUUUUGAUUUCCAUAGUUAAAGUAAACAAUUUAUUAUGAUUCCCAUUCUUCAUUCCGAUUUUAGCCCAUUUCGAUUUCACUCCAUUCUGAUUCCAAUCCAUUCUGAUUACUGAUUAGUGAACACAUCAUUAGUGUCCUGAUUGUGUACAUACGAUGGGAUUAGAAGUAACAAACUUUUACCCGUUCUGGCACAUUGUCAAAUGUAUCAUCUAAAACUAAAAAAUUUAUUAAUUUAGCAAUAUUAAUAUACCGAAAAAGUAAUAAAUUAUUAAUUUAUGAAAAAAUUCCUUAAUUUUGGAAAUUGUAAUCAUGUUUCUAGUCUUUACAUACCUUGAUCUAGUAUUUGUUAUGUUUUAUUUGAAUAGUAGUUAGUUGUCUUGAGUAGUAACUAGAUUAUUCUAGAGUUUUUAUUUUUUCAUAUUAAAGAUGGCAGAUAGAGCUCGUCUCGUAGUUGUUAGAAAACAACAAUGUAAAUUGAAAUUUCACAUUACAAAAAGAGUUAGAGAUGAGAUUUAAUUUCAAAUUAAUUUCAAGAAACAACAAACAACAUUAAGGGCCAGUUUGGGAAUGUUGUAGCUUUUAAAAUAAUUGUUGUUAGCUGUGUUGUAUAAAUAAUCAGCUGUGAAGAAAAUCAGUUAAGCGUUUGGUAAAUUUUGUUUUCAGAAGUACUGUGAGUUUUGAAAGCAGUUAUGGAUGUUUGGUAAAUUUUACUGGUAAACUGCUGAGAGAAAAUAAAUGACUAAAAUAUUCAUAAUACAAGAUUAAAUUUACUUAUACAUAUAAAAAUAUGUACAUAUAAUAUUUUUAAUUGUGUAUUAUAAUAAUUUUUACUAAAAAUAAAAUUUAUAAUUUAUUGAUUUUACUUUUUUUAUUUUUUUAUCUUAAAAAAAAUUGAUAAUUAAAUUAAUAAUAUAGUGAAACAAAUUUAAUAAUAAUUCGACCAACAAAUUGAUAUUAAUAAAUUUAUAUUGAUGAAUUAAAAUAAAAAUUUAUUAAAAUAUUUAUUUUGUUUCUAAUUUGAAUAAGGAUAAUUUUGGGUUUAGUUAAUAAUUUUGAGGAUAUUUAUAGAAUUGUAUUAAAGGAUAAAAUUGAUUCUUAAAAUCAGAAUCUAAAAGUUACUCCUUCACUGCUUUUCAAAAUCAGCUGUGGAGGGGCUGAUUUUGACAAAAGUGAUUUUGAUUUUUUUUUACCAAACACUAAAAUUAGCUUUUAGAUUUUCAAAAUCACUUUUAAGUCUCUUAAAAGCAAUCCCAAAUGGGCCCUAAAAAUAUAUUUUGCAAAAGCCAAACAUGACAUAUCUCUUGGAUUAAUUUAGUUUCAAAUUUGGCAAUUAUAAAUUUAUAUAGUAGGUGGAUCUUAUAGGAAAAUAUGAUUUUUUUAAAAUUGUUUAUCUUAUAAAUUAAUCAAAUAAUUAAUUUACCACAUUGACCGUAGUUAGGCCCAAUAAAAAUUAUUUAAUCAAGUUAUCGAGAUUAUCAAUUUAUUAAGAAUUAAUUUAUCGAUGUUCCACUAUAUUAACUAAUUAUCGUCAUAUUUUUCGUUAUCAAUAAUAACUUUUUUGUAUGGACAUUCUCAUCUCUCUGCAAAAUCACUUAUACUAUUAAAGAUUUAAGACGUGCCUAAACCCUAAUAAAAUAUAGGUCCGCCUAAGUUACGUUUAAUGUAACUUACGGCUUGGCCCUAAAAUUUUGUCCAGCCCCCUAUACUUUAUGUUAUUUAUAAUUUAUUCAUAAAUAUUAUAAAACUUUCUGAAUUGUAAAAUUACGUUUAACUCCUUACAUUCAAUUUUAUUUUAUUGAAACCUUGAAGUAUGAAUUCGUUAAUUUUCUCUUGAUCACAAAACUUUUCGAACUUUUUUUGCUUUGAUGUUCUAUUAAUGGUGCCAUGCCAAAAUGUUUAGACAACACCAAAAGUGGCAAUGGAAAUUGGUGUGAGCUUCAUUCACAAAAAUAUUGAUACUGUUGCAUAUCAAUUAAAAAGUAAGUCAUUGGGAGAGUUACUAUAAAUACACCCAUUGAAACUCUUAGCAUCAUGGGGCUUUUUUUGCAACCGUUAAUUGGCUCCAUAAAUUCUAUUACAUAAAAGAAGUAGUAGGGACUUGUGACUCUAAUUGCUCCCUCAAAGUCGUUUCCUUAUGAUUUACAAUUCACAAAAAGAAUGUAAUAAAUAAAUAAAUGUUUAACUCGCAUAUACAUAUAAAUAUGUGAAUACGUCAAAUUGUUUAAAGUUCUCCAUCAAUCUUCUCUUUAUAUUGUUAAAAAAAUAUAAUCAUCUAUUUAAAAAAUAUAAUUAUAUUUAUUAUUAUAAUAAAAUAAUAAUUAUUAUUAUAAUUUAUUUAAUAAUUAUUAUAUUUUUUAAUUAAAUGGAGGUUAUUUUGAGAAUUUAAAAUUAUAGAGGGGCAAAUUCGUACUCUAGGAUUUCAAUAAAAUAAAAUUGAGUGUAAGGGGUUACACGAAAUUUUAUAAUCCAAAAAAUUUUACAAUAUUCAUGAAAAAUUAUAAAUAACUAGAGUAUAGGGGGCUGAACAAAAUCUUACAGCCAAGCUGUAAGUUACAUUCAACGUAACUUAGGCAGACCCAUAAAAGACUAUUAUCAUAAUAACGUCACAACUAGCAGUUAAAGAUCUCAAUCUAGCAGACAGCAACUCGCUCCAGAUCUUCAAAUAAAUAUUGAAAAACAAGAUUAUUAACUUCACCAUCUUAUCUAAGUUCAAGAAGGAAUCGAUAUUCUAUUCAAAAUCCUGCAAGUGAAUGUUUUGCUAAUUAAAUUUAGAAUUUCAAUUAAAAAGCAAGUCAUUGGGGGAGUUACUAUAAAUACAUUCAUUGAAACUCUUAGCAUCAUUGGGCUUUUUUUGCAACCCUUAAUUGGCUCCAUAAAUUCUAUUACAUAAAAGAAAUAGUAGAGACUUGUGACUCUAAUUGCUCCCUCAAAGUCGUUUCCUUAUGAUUUACAAUUCACAAAAGGAAUGUAAUAAAUAAAUAAAUGUUUAACUCGCAUAUACAUGUAAAUAUGUGAAUACGUCAAAUUGUUUAAAGUUCUCCAUCAAUCUUCUCUUUAUAUUGUUAAAAAAAUAUAAUCAUCUAUUUAAAAAAUAUAAUUAUAUUUAUGAUUAUAAUAAAAUAAUAAUUAUAAUUAUAAUUCAUUUAAUAAUUAUUAUGUUUUUUAAUUAAAUGGAGAUUAUUUUGGGAAUUUAAAAUUAUAGGGGGGCAAAUUCGUAUUCUAGGGCUUCAAUAAAAUAAAAUUGAGUGCUAAAAAAUAUAAUAAUUAUUAAAUAAAUUAUAAUUAUUAUUUUAUUAUAAUCAUAAAUAUAAUUAUAGUGUUUUAAAUAGAUGAUUAUAUUUUUAAAAAAUAUAAUCAUCUAUUUAAAAAUUGAUGAUUUGACAUACUCACAUUAUGCGAUUAAUUUGUUUAAAGUUCUUCAAUAGUGCACCACUUUCUCCAAUGACUUCCAUUAAUUGCAAUUAAUUUUCUCUUGAUCACAAAACUUUUCGAACUUUUUUUGCUUUGAUGUUCUAUUAAUGGUGCCAUGCCAAAAUGUUUAGACAACACCAAAAGUGGCAAUGGAAAUUGGUGUGAGCUUCAUUCACAAAAAUAUUGAUACUGUUGCAUAUCAAUUAAAAAGUAAGUCAUUGGGAGAGUUACUAUAAAUACACCCAUUGAAACUCUUAGCAUCAUGGGGCUUUUUUUGCAACCGUUAAUUGGCUCCAUAAAUUCUAUUACAUAAAAGAAGUAGUAGGGACUUGUGACUCUAAUUGCUCCCUCAAAGUCGUUUCCUUAUGAUUUACAAUUCACAAAAAGAAUGUAAUAAAUAAAUAAAUGUUUAACUCGCAUAUACAUAUAAAUAUGUGAAUACGUCAAAUUGUUUAAAGUUCUCCAUCAAUCUUCUCUUUAUAUUGUUAAAAAAAUAUAAUCAUCUAUUUAAAAAAUAUAAUUAUAUUUAUUAUUAUAAUAAAAUAAUAAUUAUUAUUAUAAUUUAUUUAAUAAUUAUUAUAUUUUUUAAUUAAAUGGAGGUUAUUUUGAGAAUUUAAAAUUAUAGAGGGGCAAAUUCGUACUCUAGGAUUUCAAUAAAAUAAAAUUGAGUGUAAGGGGUUACACGAAAUUUUAUAAUCCAAAAAAUUUUACAAUAUUCAUGAAAAAUUAUAAAUAACUAGAGUAUAGGGGGCUGAACAAAAUCUUACAGCCAAGCUGUAAGUUACAUUCAACGUAACUUAGGCAGACCCAUAAAAGACUAUUAUCAUAAUAACGUCACAACUAGCAGUUAAAGAUCUCAAUCUAGCAGACAGCAACUCGCUCCAGAUCUUCAAAUAAAUAUUGAAAAACAAGAUUAUUAACUUCACCAUCUUAUCUAAGUUCAAGAAGGAAUCGAUAUUCUAUUCAAAAUCCUGCAAGUGAAUGUUUUGCUAAUUAAAUUUAGAAUUAAAUAAUCAAUAAAGAAACAAAGCCACCGUAAAGCAAGGUAUAUUACAAAAGAAAAGUCUUCUUCUAUGUUCUAAAAAUUGAAUAUUGGCAACUGGCAAUUUGGCACAUGGUCUACGAUUUGCACAUAGUCUGCGAUUUGCUUCACCUCUACUUAGUUCAUUUUAUUUAUUUAUUUAUUUAUUUAUUUAUUUAUUUAUUUUGCAUGUUUUUAAAGAAUUUCGCGGCGGCUAGCCAGCCAGCCACGUUCUGCGCCAUCCAAGUUUUUCAGUGAAUAUUGUCUUUUUGGACACGGGUUCUUCCAUUUGAAUUAUUUAAUCGCAUGUUCUCUAUUAUUAUCCAAGAAUGAAAAACGUGCAAGGUAGAAACUAUUACAUUGGUCGUUUGAUCUUUUUAAUGAGAGAAUUAGCUAAGCCUUACAAGGGAAAAUGCCAAAUUGGCAACUGAUAAAGCGUAAUUUAUUCUAUAUGAAGUCAGGGAUUUCGUAUUCUAUACGGAUUAUGGCUUAUUGUUUUUAAUCUUCAAGGUAAAGAUGCAUGACUUAUUUUAAGGUAUCUACGUCGGCCAUGACUACCUUGCAUCAGUGAUUACGUACCCCAACUUUUGUCUUUACCAAACUUACCACUGGAUAUUAAUUACCUAAUGGCUUAGAAAGAUACACGUAAGGAAAUUAACCUGAUGAGCAGGUUGGAAGCCGGUCAUCAAAAGUCUUACAAUUGUUUUGCACAAAAUUCCAACUAAUUGAUUAGAAAUUGUUAACAACUAACACAAUCUAGAACGAAAUAACCCGUCACAUGCGUGUUUAGGUUUGCAAACUACUCUUUGCAUCCAUGCUAGAAUCCGUUGGACAAAAAUUUACGUGUAAUGUUAUAGAAAACUUUCUUGAAUAAGCACAAAUAAUCAAUCUAUUUACUCCCUAUAGGUAAAAGUAAAAACCUCGGCUUUGGUUACAUAUAUUCAUGACAUAAAUUAAAAAAAGACUCUAGUCAUUAUAAUGAAAAUUCAAUUUUUACCGUAAUCGAUCCUCCAAGCCCUUGAGGAGAUCGUUACAAGUAAUUUAAGAAUUUGUUUAUAGAAUAAAAUCAAAAGUAAUUCAUUUAUAGUGUUGAAUCCGCAGGAAAUCAGUAACAACAUCUAAGUAUCAAGUUUGUGAAGUUGUGUGCCUAAGCCAAAACAGUAUUAGGGACAUAACUUUUUAUAAUCUUAAUAAAAUUAAUAAUAUUUAUAUUAGCCCCCACAAAAGUUCAUGUAUAUAAAUAAGAUAGUUCAUAGUAGACUCAAUAAAUAAUGUUUUGUAUAAUAUUUGUUUUAAUUUAGUCUGGGUUAAAAUAAUUUCAUUGAUUUGUAAAAAUGACAAAUUCAUCCAAUCACUUUUAGGGAGGACUUAUGUUGUCUUAUAUUAUAUUUUGCCGUUGUUAUAUCAUGCAUGCAUUAAUUGGUUGUAAUACAUUAGAAGUAUUUUAGAAUUUUUCAUUAAAUAGAUUGGAUUGAAUGGUAAAUUUGUAUUUUUGAGGAUUAUAGGUAAAUAUGUAUUCUCAAUAAAUAAUGAAAGAAAAGCAAUUUGUUUGAACUUUAGCUAAUCAAAGUUGGCUACUAGACAGGCUUCAAAGUUCCAUCAUCAUUUCAACAUCUCAUUAAUGAGGAAUUUUAAAAUAUAUUGGAGGUAUCAUAUCAAUAAUAUAACAAAUAAAUGAUGUUAUGUCACAUGUUCAUUUAUUUUGAAAAACUAAAAUGAAAGUGGUAGUUAUAUUAAAUUAAAUUGAUGAGCAUUAAAUGACAAAUAAAUUUGUGAAAUUAUUUUGGGAAAGAACUAUAAUUUUGUGAAGAAAAUUAUUAUAGUUGCCUUCAUUAAAAGAUCAUCAUCAUUAUCUUUACAUUCACCUCCUGUCAGUGAAAUUGAAUUAUUGAUGUCCACGUGUUACUCUCUUAUUGGCUGCUGUUAAGUAAAGUUGUUUGAAAAUCACUUGUUUAGACCCCUAGGGAAUUAUUGAUUAUAAUAAAUAACAUUCUUUUAUUAACUAGUUAAGUAAAUGAUAAUUAAUAUGUUGAAUAUAUAAAACACCUUCUUCAUUUUUUUCUAACAUAGUUUCUUCAGUUAACAAUUGAAUAAAAAUGUUUUAUUUUAAAUUAAUGAUUAUUCACCAAUCCCAAUAGUUAUGAUAUUGGUAAUUGUAUGAUUAAGUCUUGUUCGAGACUUGAGAAUAUAAUUGCGUUAAUUAUUUGUUGGGAGAGUUUUGCUACCUUAGUGGUCCUACCCAGCUCAAAUUUGGAUUAGUUAGGGUCUAAUAUGAUAUUCAGAUAUCAGAUGGUUUAAUACACAAAAAAAAGUCUUAUUUCUAUAGAUGACUGAAAAUUCUAACAGCGUCAAGUGAAAUAAGGAUGAAAAGGCUAUACACACACAUAUAUAUAGUUAUAUAGUUACUUUUUUAUUAGAAUAUUAAGUUAUAGCUAGUUACUUUGCAAUAACUGUUAUAGUGUUGCAAAAUUUACAGAGCUAAUAUUUUAUGUAAUAAUUAUAUACUUUUUUUCUUUUUAACCUUAACGCCUAAAAUAUUAACUCUAUAAAAUUUGACCAUCCUAGAAUUUCAAUCCUCUUCGGCCAUGACGAUAGCUUGAAUUUCAUCUGAAGGAGCGUGAACUCUUCCUACUAAAAUGAGGGUAAUGUUCAUCCAACUAUCGAAUUAUUAUGAUUCCAAACAUGUAAUUACCCCUCAAAUAUUGUUGUUGUUAUUAUUAGAGGCUAACAUUAAUAUGUUUUAUAUAUACCACAAAUAUAAAGCAUCUAAUAUUUGAUAUUUUGAAAUAAAACUCACAAACAAUCUUUUAUGCAAAUUAAUUCAUACAAACUUAUGUAAAAUUAAUUACUUUAUUUAAUCUUUUUUGUUAUAAUAAUUUUUUUGUUAAACAUUAAUCAAAUUCAUAAUGGUACAUGACAUGGAUAAUUACAAUUUAAAUGCAACUAAUAUUGAAUAAUGUUAUAUUAUAUUGUACUUACAGUUAUAUAAUUUAAGCAUGGCAAUUAUAUUUCUAAAUUAAAUCAAAUUAUUUGAGUAAUACUGCACUCACUAGAUAGUUACAUGAUUUGUAAUUUGGUAUAAUGAAUGAUGCGCAAUUAUCACAAAAAUUGUUCAAUCUUACAUUUAUAUCCAUAUUUUUCUAAAAUUAAGUUAAUUUAUAUAACAACUAAAAAUAAUAAAAUUAUAUAAAACCAUAUAAAAAUAUAAAAAUUAUAUAUCCAUUUUCAUAUUAAGUAGUAUGUUUGACUAAAUUUACUUUUGAAACUCUCUGGAUGUACGGUACAGCAGAUAAUCUUAUGAAUCUAUUUUUAUUUGUGCAUGUUGAACUUGUUAUAAUCUUAUCUUAUGCACAGUGAAAAAUGUUUUCGUUGUACUUCUAACUAAAUUUUACAUAUAUAAUUUUAUUCUAGUGGUAAAAGGAAUUGAAUUUGAAUCUGAUUUUUUUUCAAUAUAGCUUAAUAACAACUAAAUUUGUGCCCAUAGAUUCAAACCUCAACUGUUUUGUUUUGAACUCAAAUGAUUUACAACUAAAUUAACUGAUAGCCAUAAUUUGAUUAUUAAUAUAUUUACAUAGUAGUGUAUCUCAUCUAUAUUAAAUUAUUAAUAUAGUUGUAAAUAAUUAAUUUUAUAUCAACAAAAUAUAUACAUAUAUAUACAUACAUACAUAUAUAUGUGUAUUAUGUAAAAUUUUCACAUAAAAAAGUUUUAUCUUGGCGGGUAAAAAUGAAAAUAUUAUUUACCAAAUUACAAAAAUGAAUUUUGAGAUUUUGAAUGGUUACAACAAAUCAAUCUAUGGAAGUUUUAUUAUUCAUCAAACUUUUAUUAUCUUUUUUAUUAAUUUGAAAACUUUCAUAUUUUUUUUCCAAUUUCUACUAAUAAUAUAAAUACUCACAUUAUGACAUUUCUUUGGAAACCCUAGCCGCUCUCCUUAAACCAUCAAAGACGCUCACUCACGUCAAACCCUCACAAGCCAACAAGCGAGCAGUUGCCGCCGUCUUCAUUCCUACGCCCAUUACGGUCCUAUGUAUCAGCAUUUGAAAUUUUGAAUAUUGUUUAUUGCUUCGCAGAAUUAUUUUCUAAUAUCAUUUGGUUUUCUUUUAUACAUGCAGAGACCCUUAUGAUCUAACAGCAUCUGAAAUCUAGCUUUUGAAAAUUGUAAAUUGAUUUAGUUUUGUAUUGGUUUUAUUUGAUGCUAAAAGUUUUUAAAAUUAUUUUCCCGCAAGCUUGUAAAAAGUUCUCAUAUACCUAUUUGGAUGAAUGGAAGUUUUUAUUUGAUUAAUAUUUUUAUGCACUGGAUAAAUUAAUAGGGCAUUGUAAUUUCAUUUACAAACAAAUGCCAACAAACCAUUUAAAAAAUAAUAAAAAUACGCCAAAAUUAUAAUCUUAUGUUAUAACUGCUGGGUUAUAUUUUUUUAAUGCCAUAUUAGUCAUGAUAAAAAUUGAAGAACUCUUUUAGUUGAGUCCUAAAUAAUUGUAUUUCUAGUUAAGUCCUAAAAAUUGAAUAACUUAUUUUGGUAAAUGGAAAAUUAUAGGGAUAUUUAAACGAGAAUGAUACUAAAGCUUAACCAAAAUUGGGAACUAAUUUAACAAAAAAAAUUAUUUCGGUAUUUAACCCAAAUAAAUGAAAUCUUAUCAAAUUAAUUGGAAUAUUGAACACAAAACUAGUGGAAUAAUAAUUGAAACGUAUAAACCCACAAGGAAGAAAGUGUAACCAAAAUUAGGAACAUACUUAACCAAAAAUAAAAUUACGAAAAAUAAAUUCGGUACUUAACCCAAAUAAUUGGAAUCUAUUUAAGUUAAUGGGAAUAUUCAACACAAAACUAGAGGAAUAAUUAGAUGAAACAUUUGAACCAAUAAGUGAGAAAAUCUAACGAAAAUUAGGAACUCAUCCAACGGGAAAUGAAAAUUACUUGGAAUCUAACCCAAAAUAUUGGUAUUGAACGAACUUAGUAGGAAUACCUAACACAAAACUAGUGGACUAAUAAUUUGAAACAUGUGAACCUAAAUAUUAAAAAGCUUAACCAAAAUUGGGAACUAAUUUAACAAAAAAAAUUAUUUCGGUAUUUAACCCAAAUAAAUGAAAUCUUAUCAAAUUAAUUGGAAUAUUGAACACAAAACUAGUGGAAUAAUAAUUGAAACGUAUAAACCCACAAGGAAGAAAGUGUAACCAAAAUUAGGAACAUACUUAACCAAAAAUAAAAUUACGAAAAAUAAAUUCGGUACUUAACCCAAAUAAUUGGAAUCUAUUUAAGUUAAUGGGAAUAUUCAACACAAAACUAGAGGAAUAAUUAGAUGAAACAUUUGAACCAAUAAGUGAGAAAAUCUAACGAAAAUUAGGAACUCAUCCAACGGGAAAUGAAAAUUACUUGGAAUCUAACCCAAAAUAUUGGUAUUGAACGAACUUAGUAGGAAUACCUAACACAAAACUAGUGGACUAAUAAUUUGAAACAUGUGAACCUAAAUAUUAAAAAGCUUAACCAAAAUUGGGAACUAAUUUAACAAAAAAAAUUAUUUCGGUAUUUAACCCAAAUAAAUGAAAUCUUAUCAAAUUAAUUGGAAUAUUGAACACAAAACUAGUGGAAUAAUAAUUGAAACGUAUAAACCCACAAGGAAGAAAGUGUAACCAAAAUUAGGAACAUACUUAACCAAAAAUAAAAUUACGAAAAAUAAAUUCGGUACUUAACCCAAAUAAUUGGAAUCUAUUUAAGUUAAUGGGAAUAUUCAACACAAAACUAGAGGAAUAAUUAGAUGAAACAUUUGAACCAAUAAGUGAGAAAAUCUAACGAAAAUUAGGAACUCAUCCAACGGGAAAUGAAAAUUACUUGGAAUCUAACCCAAAAUAUUGGUAUUGAACGAACUUAGUAGGAAUACCUAACACAAAACUAGUGGACUAAUAAUUUGAAACAUGUGAACCUAAAUAUUAAAAAGCUUAACCAAAAUUGGGAACUAAUUUAACAAAAAAAAUUAUUUCGGUAUUUAACCCAAAUAAAUGAAAUCUUAUCAAAUUAAUUGGAAUAUUGAACACAAAACUAGUGGAAUAAUAAUUGAAACGUAUAAACCCACAAGGAAGAAAGUGUAACCAAAAUUAGGAACAUACUUAACCAAAAAUAAAAUUACGAAAAAUAAAUUCGGUACUUAACCCAAAUAAUUGGAAUCUAUUUAAGUUAAUGGGAAUAUUCAACACAAAACUAGAGGAAUAAUUAGAUGAAACAUUUGAACCAAUAAGUGAGAAAAUCUAACGAAAAUUAGGAACUCAUCCAACGGGAAAUGAAAAUUACUUGGAAUCUAACCCAAAAUAUUGGUAUUGAACGAACUUAGUAGGAAUACCUAACACAAAACUAGUGGACUAAUAAUUUGAAACAUGUGAACCUAAAUAUUAAAAAGCUUAACCAAAAUUGGGAACUAAUUUAACAAAAAAAAUUAUUUCGGUAUUUAACCCAAAUAAAUGAAAUCUUAUCAAAUUAAUUGGAAUAUUGAACACAAAACUAGUGGAAUAAUAAUUGAAACGUAUAAACCCACAAGGAAGAAAGUGUAACCAAAAUUAGGAACAUACUUAACCAAAAAUAAAAUUACGAAAAAUAAAUUCGGUACUUAACCCAAAUAAUUGGAAUCUAUUUAAGUUAAUGGGAAUAUUCAACACAAAACUAGAGGAAUAAUUAGAUGAAACAUUUGAACCAAUAAGUGAGAAAAUCUAACGAAAAUUAGGAACUCAUCCAACGGGAAAUGAAAAUUACUUGGAAUCUAACCCAAAAUAUUGGUAUUGAACGAACUUAGUAGGAAUACCUAACACAAAACUAGUGGACUAAUAAUUUGAAACAUGUGAACCUAAAUAUUAAAAAGCUUAACCAAAAUUGGGAACUAAUUUAACAAAAAAAAUUAUUUCGGUAUUUAACCCAAAUAAAUGAAAUCUUAUCAAAUUAAUUGGAAUAUUGAACACAAAACUAGUGGAAUAAUAAUUGAAACGUAUAAACCCACAAGGAAGAAAGUGUAACCAAAAUUAGGAACAUACUUAACCAAAAAUAAAAUUACGAAAAAUAAAUUCGGUACUUAACCCAAAUAAUUGGAAUCUAUUUAAGUUAAUGGGAAUAUUCAACACAAAACUAGAGGAAUAAUUAGAUGAAACAUUUGAACCAAUAAGUGAGAAAAUCUAACGAAAAUUAGGAACUCAUCCAACGGGAAAUGAAAAUUACUUGGAAUCUAACCCAAAAUAUUGGUAUUGAACGAACUUAGUAGGAAUACCUAACACAAAACUAGUGGACUAAUAAUUUGAAACAUGUGAACCUAAAUAUUAAAAAGCUUAACCAAAAUUGGGAACUAAUUUAACAAAAAAAAUUAUUUCGGUAUUUAACCCAAAUAAAUGAAAUCUUAUCAAAUUAAUUGGAAUAUUGAACACAAAACUAGUGGAAUAAUAAUUGAAACGUAUAAACCCACAAGGAAGAAAGUGUAACCAAAAUUAGGAACAUACUUAACCAAAAAUAAAAUUACGAAAAAUAAAUUCGGUACUUAACCCAAAUAAUUGGAAUCUAUUUAAGUUAAUGGGAAUAUUCAACACAAAACUAGAGGAAUAAUUAGAUGAAACAUUUGAACCAAUAAGUGAGAAAAUCUAACGAAAAUUAGGAACUCAUCCAACGGGAAAUGAAAAUUACUUGGAAUCUAACCCAAAAUAUUGGUAUUGAACGAACUUAGUAGGAAUACCUAACACAAAACUAGUGGACUAAUAAUUUGAAACAUGUGAACCUAAAUAUUAAAAAGCUUAACCAAAAUUGGGAACUAAUUUAACAAAAAAAAUUAUUUCGGUAUUUAACCCAAAUAAAUGAAAUCUUAUCAAAUUAAUUGGAAUAUUGAACACAAAACUAGUGGAAUAAUAAUUGAAACGUAUAAACCCACAAGGAAGAAAGUGUAACCAAAAUUAGGAACAUACUUAACCAAAAAUAAAAUUACGAAAAAUAAAUUCGGUACUUAACCCAAAUAAUUGGAAUCUAUUUAAGUUAAUGGGAAUAUUCAACACAAAACUAGAGGAAUAAUUAGAUGAAACAUUUGAACCAAUAAGUGAGAAAAUCUAACGAAAAUUAGGAACUCAUCCAACGGGAAAUGAAAAUUACUUGGAAUCUAACCCAAAAUAUUGGUAUUGAACGAACUUAGUAGGAAUACCUAACACAAAACUAGUGGACUAAUAAUUUGAAACAUGUGAACCUAAAUAUUAAAAAGCUUAACCAAAAUUGGGAACUAAUUUAACAAAAAAAAUUAUUUCGGUAUUUAACCCAAAUAAAUGAAAUCUUAUCAAAUUAAUUGGAAUAUUGAACACAAAACUAGUGGAAUAAUAAUUGAAACGUAUAAACCCACAAGGAAGAAAGUGUAACCAAAAUUAGGAACAUACUUAACCAAAAAUAAAAUUACGAAAAAUAAAUUCGGUACUUAACCCAAAUAAUUGGAAUCUAUUUAAGUUAAUGGGAAUAUUCAACACAAAACUAGAGGAAUAAUUAGAUGAAACAUUUGAACCAAUAAGUGAGAAAAUCUAACGAAAAUUAGGAACUCAUCCAACGGGAAAUGAAAAUUACUUGGAAUCUAACCCAAAAUAUUGGUAUUGAACGAACUUAGUAGGAAUACCUAACACAAAACUAGUGGACUAAUAAUUUGAAACAUGUGAACCUAAAUAUUAAAAAGCUUAACCAAAAUUGGGAACUAAUUUAACAAAAAAAAUUAUUUCGGUAUUUAACCCAAAUAAAUGAAAUCUUAUCAAAUUAAUUGGAAUAUUGAACACAAAACUAGUGGAAUAAUAAUUGAAACGUAUAAACCCACAAGGAAGAAAGUGUAACCAAAAUUAGGAACAUACUUAACCAAAAAUAAAAUUACGAAAAAUAAAUUCGGUACUUAACCCAAAUAAUUGGAAUCUAUUUAAGUUAAUGGGAAUAUUCAACACAAAACUAGAGGAAUAAUUAGAUGAAACAUUUGAACCAAUAAGUGAGAAAAUCUAACGAAAAUUAGGAACUCAUCCAACGGGAAAUGAAAAUUACUUGGAAUCUAACCCAAAAUAUUGGUAUUGAACGAACUUAGUAGGAAUACCUAACACAAAACUAGUGGACUAAUAAUUUGAAACAUGUGAACCUAAAUAUUAAAAAGCUUAACCAAAAUUGGGAACUAAUUUAACAAAAAAAAUUAUUUCGGUAUUUAACCCAAAUAAAUGAAAUCUUAUCAAAUUAAUUGGAAUAUUGAACACAAAACUAGUGGAAUAAUAAUUGAAACGUAUAAACCCACAAGGAAGAAAGUGUAACCAAAAUUAGGAACAUACUUAACCAAAAAUAAAAUUACGAAAAAUAAAUUCGGUACUUAACCCAAAUAAUUGGAAUCUAUUUAAGUUAAUGGGAAUAUUCAACACAAAACUAGAGGAAUAAUUAGAUGAAACAUUUGAACCAAUAAGUGAGAAAAUCUAACGAAAAUUAGGAACUCAUCCAACGGGAAAUGAAAAUUACUUGGAAUCUAACCCAAAAUAUUGGUAUUGAACGAACUUAGUAGGAAUACCUAACACAAAACUAGUGGACUAAUAAUUUGAAACAUGUGAACCUAAAUAUUAAAAAGCUUAACCAAAAUUGGGAACUAAUUUAACAAAAAAAAUUAUUUCGGUAUUUAACCCAAAUAAAUGAAAUCUUAUCAAAUUAAUUGGAAUAUUGAACACAAAACUAGUGGAAUAAUAAUUGAAACGUAUAAACCCACAAGGAAGAAAGUGUAACCAAAAUUAGGAACAUACUUAACCAAAAAUAAAAUUACGAAAAAUAAAUUCGGUACUUAACCCAAAUAAUUGGAAUCUAUUUAAGUUAAUGGGAAUAUUCAACACAAAACUAGAGGAAUAAUUAGAUGAAACAUUUGAACCAAUAAGUGAGAAAAUCUAACGAAAAUUAGGAACUCAUCCAACGGGAAAUGAAAAUUACUUGGAAUCUAACCCAAAAUAUUGGUAUUGAACGAACUUAGUAGGAAUACCUAACACAAAACUAGUGGACUAAUAAUUUGAAACAUGUGAACCUAAAUAUUAAAAAGCUUAACCAAAAUUGGGAACUAAUUUAACAAAAAAAAUUAUUUCGGUAUUUAACCCAAAUAAAUGAAAUCUUAUCAAAUUAAUUGGAAUAUUGAACACAAAACUAGUGGAAUAAUAAUUGAAACGUAUAAACCCACAAGGAAGAAAGUGUAACCAAAAUUAGGAACAUACUUAACCAAAAAUAAAAUUACGAAAAAUAAAUUCGGUACUUAACCCAAAUAAUUGGAAUCUAUUUAAGUUAAUGGGAAUAUUCAACACAAAACUAGAGGAAUAAUUAGAUGAAACAUUUGAACCAAUAAGUGAGAAAAUCUAACGAAAAUUAGGAACUCAUCCAACGGGAAAUGAAAAUUACUUGGAAUCUAACCCAAAAUAUUGGUAUUGAACGAACUUAGUAGGAAUACCUAACACAAAACUAGUGGACUAAUAAUUUGAAACAUGUGAACCUAAAUAUUAAAAAGCUUAACCAAAAUUGGGAACUAAUUUAACAAAAAAAAUUAUUUCGGUAUUUAACCCAAAUAAAUGAAAUCUUAUCAAAUUAAUUGGAAUAUUGAACACAAAACUAGUGGAAUAAUAAUUGAAACGUAUAAACCCACAAGGAAGAAAGUGUAACCAAAAUUAGGAACAUACUUAACCAAAAAUAAAAUUACGAAAAAUAAAUUCGGUACUUAACCCAAAUAAUUGGAAUCUAUUUAAGUUAAUGGGAAUAUUCAACACAAAACUAGAGGAAUAAUUAGAUGAAACAUUUGAACCAAUAAGUGAGAAAAUCUAACGAAAAUUAGGAACUCAUCCAACGGGAAAUGAAAAUUACUUGGAAUCUAACCCAAAAUAUUGGUAUUGAACGAACUUAGUAGGAAUACCUAACACAAAACUAGUGGACUAAUAAUUUGAAACAUGUGAACCUAAAUAUUAAAAAGCUUAACCAAAAUUGGGAACUAAUUUAACAAAAAAAAUUAUUUCGGUAUUUAACCCAAAUAAAUGAAAUCUUAUCAAAUUAAUUGGAAUAUUGAACACAAAACUAGUGGAAUAAUAAUUGAAACGUAUAAACCCACAAGGAAGAAAGUGUAACCAAAAUUAGGAACAUACUUAACCAAAAAUAAAAUUACGAAAAAUAAAUUCGGUACUUAACCCAAAUAAUUGGAAUCUAUCCAAGUUAAUGGGAAUAUUCAACGCAAAACUAGAGGAGUAAUUAGAUGAAACAUUUGAACCAAUAAGUGAGAAAAUCUAACGAAAAUUAGGAACUCAUCUAACGGGAAAUGAAAAUUACUUAGAAUCUAACCCAAAAUAUUGGUAUUGAACGAACUUAGUAGGAAUACCUAACACAAAACUAGUGGACUGAUAAUUUGAAACAUGUGAACUUAAAUAUUAAAAAGCUUAACCAAAAUUGGGAACUAAUUUAACAAAAAAAAUUAUUUCGGUAUUUAACCCAAAUAAAUGAAAUCUUACCAAGCGAAUUGGAAUAUUGAACGUAAAAUUUGUGAAAUAAUAGUUGAAACAUAUAAACCAAAAAGGGAGAAAGUGUAACCAAAUUUAGGAACUUAUUUAACGAGAAAUGAAUUUACUUGGAAUCUAACCUAAAAAAUUUGUAUUUAACGAAUUUAGUAGGAAUAUUAUACAUAAAACUAGUGGAUUGAGAAGUGGAAACAAAUAAACCAAUUAUUGAGAAAGUUUAACGAAAAUUAGGGACAUGUGAAAUUAAUUUGAAACGUCCACCUAAUAUAUUGAUAUUUAACCAAAAAAAUUGGAACAUGAUUAUUUUACUCUUUUUUUAACUUUUUUUAACUUUUUUUUUAAAUUAAAAAUAUUUUUCUCACUCAAAUCUUUUUAAUAUUAAUUGUUUAUAAAUUUCUUUAUUUUUUUCACAUUAAAAAUAAAUUUUUUAAAAAUUAUUAGAUGAACAAAAAGUAAAAUACCGGUUGUUCAAGUUUUUUUUUCACUGUUGAAGCAGCUGUAUUACAUACAGCGCGGUACUAUAUGAUGACUCAUACAAAAGUUUAAAGUUAACAAAUCUUUAAAUCUCAGUAUGUAGAAUCUGAUAUAAUACCUUUUUUGGGGAAAUAAAAUGAAAGAAAAUCAAGUCGUUUCAACUUUAGCUAAUCAACGUUGGCGUCUAGCUAGGCUUCCAAGUUCCAUCGACAUUUUCAAUAUGUGAUCAAUGAGGAAUUCUAGAAUAAAAAGAAGAAACCCAAUGGUCAACAGAAUAAUAUUUUUUAAGCACAAGCACUCAAUUGAAAUAGUCACCCCUCUUGCUUCUAUAUAAGCAAACGAAAGCAUGUCUUUAGAAGAGUGUAUCUAAACAAUACUGCGUUUAAAUCUCUGUAAAUUAAAAUGGAAUUUCUGAAGAAUCUUUUUACAGCACCUCUGCAUCGUUUCAUCCACAAAGACUUCCAUGAAGUUGUCUCCAGGAUGACUCUCACCGACAAAUUUCUCUUCCUCGUAAAAUAUCUCUCUUCAUGCUUGCAUGCAGCCUCUAACUAUUUUAGUUUGUUAAACAUUAAUAAUAUUGACUGUCAUUCUUAUAUUUUGUUGUUGAAUUUUUGGUUUCUUAUUAUUUAUGUGUCGUGCUGAGGCAUAUGCAGAUUGUGCACUCCAUGGAUAAGCUGGGAAUAUUAUGGCAUCGGUUGCCCGUGUUUGUUGGUUUAUUUUAUCUGGGACUUCGACGACACCUUCACCAGGAGUACAACUUGUUCAACGUCGGGAAAACCCCGGCAGGUGUUCGGUUUAAUCCGGCGGAUUAUCCGUACCGGACCGCCAAUGGCGAAUAUAACGAUCCCUUCAAUGAAGGUGCUGGCAGUGAAGGAAC